rnacentral:rRNA from 1 species
AACUAACGCUGGCGGCGUGCCUAACACAUGCAAGUCGUACGAGAAAGCCGGCUUCGGCUGGUGAGUAAAGUGGCGCACGGGUGAGUAACGCGUGGAUAAUCUGCCCUUAAGUGUGGAAUAACGUACCGAAAGGUGCGCUAAUACCGCAUAAUGCCUGGCAACACAAGUUGUCCGGCCAAAGAAGGCCUCUGUUUACAAGCUUUCGCUUCAGGAUGAGUCCGCGUACCAUUAGCUUGUUGGUGGGGUAAUGGCCUACCAAGGCUGCGAUGGUUAGCUGGUCUGAGAGGAUGAUCAGCCACACUGGAACUGAGACACGGUCCAGACUCCUACGGGAGCAGCAGUGAGGAAUAUUGCGCAAUGGGGGCAACCCUGACGCAGCAACGCCGCGUGAGUGAGGAAGGUUUCGGACUGUAAAGCUCUGUCAUCGGGGACGAAGAAAGUGACGGUACCCGAGGACGGAAGCCCUGCUAACUACGUGCCAGCAGCCGAC